rnacentral:tRNA from 1 species
GCUCAGGUGGUGGAAUUUGGUAGACACAGCAGACUUAGAAUCUGCCGACUGAAAGGUCAUGAGGGUUCGAGUCCCUCCUUGAGCA